GGGUCGGUCAAUAUUCUUCCGUGGGCCCAUUACACAAUUUUUUGCAAUUCCGUGAAACUGCCACAGAUUUUGAGUUGAGGACCCGUGUUCAUUUCACAGAUUUCUGUGAGAUCAGG